rnacentral:rRNA from 1 species
CGGGAAACUGGGGAUAAUCCCUGAUAGAUCUCGGUCGCUGGAAUGCUCCUAGAUCCAAAGCUCCGGCGCUCAAGGAUGGUUCUGCGUCCUAUCAGGUAGUAGUGGGUGUAGCGUACCUACUAGCCUACGACGGGUACGGGUUGUGAGAGCAAGAGCCCGGAGCUGGAUUCUGAGACACGAAUCCAGGCCCUACGGGGUGCAGCAGGCGCGAAAACUUUACAAUGCCGGCAACGGCGAUAAGGGAACCUCGAGUGCCAGGGUACAAAUCUGGCUGUCGUGAUGCCUAAAAAGCAUUGCAUAGCAAGGGCCGGGCAAGACCGGUGCCAGCCGCCGCGUAACA